GACGAACGCUGGCGGCGUGCUUAACACAUGCAAGUCGAACGGAAAGGCCCUGCUUUUGUGGGGUUCUCGAGUGGCGAACGGGUGAGUAACACGUGAGUAUCCUGCCCUUGACUUGGGGAUAACUUCAGGAAACUGGGGCUAAUACCGGAUAGGAGCUCCUGCUGCAUGGUGGGGGUUGGAAAGUUUCGGCGGUUGGGGAUGGACUCGCGGCUUAUCAGCUUGUUGGUGGGGUAGUGGCUUACCAAGGCUUUGACGGGUAGCCGGCCUGAGAGGGUGACCGGCGACAUUGGGACUGAGAUACGGAGCAGACUCCUACGGGAGGCAGCAGUGGGGAAUAUUGCACAAUGGGCGGAAGCCUGAUGCAGCAACGCCGCGUGCGGGAUGACGGCCUUCGGGUUGUAAACCGCUUUCGCCUGUGACGAAGCGUGAGUGACGGUAAUGGGUAAAGAAGCACCGGCUAACUACGUG
rnacentral:rRNA from 1 species